AAAAAGUUACUUUAAAGAAAAAACAAAGCAAUACUCCAAAAGAAACCCUCUAAUUGGUAGAACCCAGCCAGACAAUCAGUGACAUCACUCAGACAUUUAAGCAGGAAGUACUGGGCCGGCCCCUCCCAUACUCCUGCCCUGCUGCAGAUCUACAAGGGACAAACAAUGGUGAGUACAAAGCGUGUGACUGGCAGACUGUAAGGUGCUCAUCAUCUACUCUGAUCAGUGGGAGCAUAAACGUGAGCAGGAGACAGAGGAAAUGCAUUGGAGCUUUGCUCAUUCAGAGAGUUCCUCAGCCCCAGUCUGGUGUCGGCUGUAAGAACAAAGCAAGUUGUCAAACCCCUGUUCCAUAAACGCUGCAGUUCACCUCCAAGCUCCAGAAAGAGUUUUCCAAAGCCAGCGGUGCUGAAGCCAGAAACCCUGCAACCCAGCACUCCUGUCCAGGUAGGAAUCCAUCACAAGCCCUCGCUGCAAACCUGUCUGCCUCUCAAUCCUCUGAAUCCUCCAUGCCGGCAUAAACCGUUCCCAGAAUGCACCAGUUGCCAUACAGACUGUCAAACUCAGCUAUCUGUGCUGCAGCUCAACCCCUUCUGGACAUGCCAGCAAACAUUCACAGUAAGCCAGCUACGGCUCAGUCAAAACUUUUUCGCCUGUCUCCUGCCAGUGGUUAAAGCCAUUCUGUUCGUUCUGUUUUCAUUCUGCGACCAGAGCCAUCCCAA